UACGUAGGGUGCGAGCGUUGUCCGGAAUUAUUGGGCGUAAAGAGCUCGUAGGCGGUUUGUCGCGUCUGCUGUGAAAACGCGAGGCUUAACCUCGCGCCUGCAGUGGGUACGGGCAGACUAGAGUGCGGUAGGGGAGACUGGAAUUCCUGGUGUAGCGGUGGAAUGCGCAGAUAUCAGGAGGAACACCGGUGGCGAAGGCGGGUCUCUGGGCCGUUACUGACGCUGAGGAGCGAAAGCAUGGGGAGCGAACAGG
rnacentral:rRNA from 1 species